UGGCAGCUGAUGCAGAAAAACCAUUUGAUAUGGUCAGAUAGGAAUAUAUGAGUAAAGCACAAUUAAAAUGUGGAAUUCGGGACUGGACACAUUGGACAAACUUGUCCUUAUUUACAGAGCCAACAGCAAGAAUGGUAGGGCCAAACUUAUGUGCAGAUGGGUUUAGACUGAACAAUGGUACCAGACAGGGCUAUAUGCUGCCCCAAUUCUAUACAUCAUCAUAAUAGAACCAUUAGCAAUAAACUUAAGGAAUAAUAUUUUGAUAAAGGAUUUGCCCUCCGGGCAAAGAGAAUUAAAAAUGAAUAUGUAUGCGAAUGACAUCCUUCUAACUCUAACUGGCCCAAUCAUCUCGCUGGAACAUUUUAUGUAAAAGAUAGAUGACUAUAGUAACAGCUCUAACACUAAAAUGAAUAUGAAUAAAACUACCUCCCCUCACCCUUUAACACUCCAUCCUCCAACCAUGUCACGCUUGCCCUCCUUCAUUCUGCCACACACACCCCUCAACCCUGUCUCAUGUGUUCCCUCGUUCUGUCACACUCACCCUGUUACAGUCACCCCUGAAAACAAUCAUCAUACACACAAAGUCAUAAAACAUAGCUUCGCCACAAACACAGUGCACAAAGGGCACAGGCAGUCCUCUCAUAUAC